CCUACGGGAGGCUGCAGUAGGGAAUAUUGCUCAAUGCGGGAAACCCUGAAGCAGCAACGCCGCGUGGAGGAUGAAGGUUUUCGGAUUGUAAACUCCUUUUGUUAGAGAAGAUAAUGACGGUAUCUAACGAAUAAGCACCUGCUAAAUCCGUGCCAGCAGCCGCGGUAAUACGGGGGGUGCAAGCGUUACUCGGAAUCACUGGGCGUAAAGAGCGCGUAGGCGGGAUAGCAAGUCAGAUGUGAAAUCCUAGGGCUUAACCAUAGAACUGCAUGUGAAACUGUUAUUCUAGAGUAUGGGAGAGGUAGGUGGAAUUCUUGGUGUAGGGGUAAAAUCCGUAGAGAUCAAGAGGAAUACUCAUUGCGAAGGCGACCUGCUAGAACAUAACUGACGCUGAUGCGCGAAAGCGUGGGGAGCAAACAGGAUUAGAUACCCGGGUAGUC
rnacentral:rRNA from 1 species